rnacentral:rRNA from 1 species
GAUGAACGCUGGCGGCGUGCCUAAUACAUGCAAGUCGAACGAAACUUCUUUAUCACCGAGUGCUUGCACUCACCGAUAAAGAGUUGAGUGGCGAACGGGUGAGUAACACGUGGGCAACCUGCCCAAAAGAGGGGGAUAACACUUGGAAACAGGUGCUAAUACCGCAUAACCAUAGUUACCGCAUGGUAACUAUGUAAAAGGUGGCUAUACUACCGCUUUUGGAUGGGCCCGCGGCGCAUUAGCUAGUUGGUAGGGUAAAGGCUUACCAAGGCAAUGAUGCGUAGCCGAAUUGAGAGGUUGAUCGGCCACAUUGGGACUGAGACACGGCCCAAACUCCUACGGGAGGCAGCAGUAGGGAAUCUUCCACAAUGGGCGAAAGCCUGAUGGAGCAGCGCCGCGUGGGUGAAGAAGGUCUUCGGAUCGUAAAACCCUGUUGUUAGAGAAGAAAGUGCGUGAGAGUAACUGUUCACGUUUCGACGGUAUCUAACCAGAAAGCCACGGCUAACUACGUG